rnacentral:rRNA from 1 species
UUGACCUCGGAUCAGGUAGGAAGACCCGCUGAACUUAAGCAUAUCAAUAAGCGGAGGAAAAGAAACCAACAGGGAUUGCCCUAGUAACGGCGAGUGAAGCGGCAACAGCUCAAAUUUGAAAUCUGGCUUC